CGUGUAGGCGGUGCGGUAAGUUGGGCGUGAAAUCCCCGAGCUUAACUCGGGUGGGCCGUUCAAGACUGCCGUGCUAGGGUGCGGGAGAGGGAAGUGGCAUUUCCGGUGUAGCGGUGAAAUGCGUAGAUAUCGGGAGGAACACCUGCGGCGAAGGCGGCUUCCUGGACCGUAACCGACGCUGAGGCGCGAAAGCUAGGGGAGCAAACAGGAUUAGAUACCCUGGUAGUCCUAGCCCUAAACGAUGACGCACUGGGUGUGGCCCCUCACGGGGCCGUGCCGAAGCUAACGCAUUAAGUGCUCCGCCUGGGGAUACGGUCGCAAGGCUGAA
rnacentral:rRNA from 1 species